rnacentral:rRNA from 1 species
CCUACGGGGGGCAGCAGUGGGGAAUAUUGGACAAUGGGCGAAAGCCUGAUCCAGCCAUGCCGCGUGUGUGAAGAAGGCCUUCGGGUUGUAAAGCACUUUCAGUGGGGAAGAAAGCCUUGGGGCUAAUACCCUCGAGGAAGGACAUCACCCACAGAAGAAGCACCGGCUAACUCCGGGCCAGCAGCCGCGGUAAUACGGAGGGUGCGAGCGUUAAUCGGAAUUACUGGGCGUAAAGCGCGCGUAGGCGGUCUGAUAAGCCGGUUGUGAAAGCCCCGGGCUCAACCUGGGAACGGCAUCCGGAACUGUCAGGCUAGAGUGCAGGAGAGGAAGGUAGAAUUCCCGGUGUAGCGGUGAAAUGCGUAGAGAUCGGGAGGAAUACCAGUGGCGAAGGCGGCCUUCUGGACUGACACUGACGCUGAGGUGCGAAAGCGUGGGUAGCAAACAGGAUUAGAUACCCUGGUAGUC